CAAAAUCCACAUAACUAAAAACAAAAAUAAAAGUUUCCAGCUUUAACAACAACACUAAUAUUUACUCAUUUCUCCACUCUACACUUUCAUUGCUAACAAGAACUGCCCAAAUCCACUCUAACCAAUACCCAUUUGUGAAACCCGUUCCUUUUUGUGGUUGAAGCAUCAAAGUCACAAGCAUACAAAGAAGGAGAAGAAAAGGAACCAUAUGAAGAGUAUGAAGUAGAGAUUGAGCAACCUUAUGGAAUCAAAUUUGUGAAAUGAAGGGAUGGUGGAACUUACAUUGCUGCUAUUGCACCUGGUGGAUCAGCUCACAAGGCUUGACUGUUCAAUGUUGGUGAUAAAGUAAUUGCCACCACGUUUGUACUCUUCAUUUUUUUUAGUUCCAGAUGAUCUUAAUGUCCAUUGUUUUCCUGGAUUAAAUGCUGAUGGAAUGCUAAAUACAAUGAAGCAAUAGAGAAAGUUGAUUCUGUAUUGGGAACAAAGCCAGAACUUGAAGAAGCAGCAUUCACAAGUUACUAGUUGAUCUCUAAGCUAAACCAGAAACCAUGUUCCAACUUAAUACUACACCACACUAUGCUGGCCUGCCCGCUCCAAGUUGCGAGUUGAAGGUCUUAGACAGGAGGGUACAGCCUGAGGAUGGUUUGAACCAUCUUCUAUUAAUACAUGAUUAAUGAAAUGGAGGUCACUCUCAUGAUCAUCCAUUGACCCCAUCCAGGUAAGUACUUUACAAAGACGAUAUUCAAUUUCUUUUAUUCUCUUGCUUAUCUCAAUACCUUUCACUUACUUUCGAUGUGGGACUCAACUACUAGUAGGCAAUGUAUUUCCCAACUUGUGUAAGGUUGACCAACAAAAGAGUGCACGAUUGUUGGUGGUGUAAUGUAGAGUCGGAAACAGGAGAGCACGGGUUGCUGCAGUGUAAUCAGAGCAUUCAUAGUACUGCUAAAUGGUAACAUUGGAGAGAAAAUAUUUCACAUAUUAAAUGCACUUUCAAAGGAGAAAAUGAAUAUCUUUGCGAUGAUAUUAUGGAGUUUGUGGAAGAGUAGCAAAUGUAGUACAUGAAGGAUAGUAAUGUAUUUGCCAACAUGUGUAAGAUUGCAGGGCCAUAAAGAACACAGUGAGAGGGUUUCAUAGGCAUUUGAUAGAUCUAAGCAAAUCAUCAUUUUCUAAGGUGGUUGACAAAGUAUUAAUUUUGGAUGUCCUAGCUAUUGUGAUUUUGUUGUAGCCCUUAAUAUUAUGGUAUAAUAAGCAAAUACAGUUGAUAUAAUCU